rnacentral:rRNA from 1 species
CCUACGGGUGGCAGCAGUGAGGAAUAUUGGUCAAUGGCCGAGAGCCUGAACCAGCCAAGUCGCGUGAAGGAUGAAGGAUCUACGGGUUGUAAACUUCUUUUAUAUGGGAAUAAAGUGAGGAACGUGUUCCUUUUUGUGUGUACCAGAUGAAUAAGCAUCGGCUGACUCCGUGCCAGCAGCCGCGGUAAUACGGAGGAUGCGAGCGUUAUCCGGAUUUAUUGGGUUUAAAGGGUGCGUAGGGGGUUAAUGAAGUCAGCGGUGAAAGUUUGGGGCUCAACCAUAAAAUUGCCGUUGAAACUGGUUGACUUGAGUAUGUUUGAGGUAGGCGGAAUGCGUGGUGUAGCGGUGUAAUGCAUAGAUAUCACGCAGAACUCCGAUUGCGAAGGCAGCUUACUAACGUAUAACUGACACUGAAGCACGAAAGCGUGGGGAUCAAACAGGAUUAGAUACCCUUGUAGUC